GCGCGCUGCGGCCCCUGAAGACAGGAUGCGCUUCCAGUUUCGCUUCUUUCUGGUUUACAGCCUGUCCUCGGCCACCCGGACUACCGCAGCCACCCAGACCACUGUGGCCACACCAACCGCCAAAGCAUCCUCCCGCGACCCGUGCGCACCGGGCUCCUACUUGCAAUUCUACGACGGCCCGCAGGAGGCGCCCCGGGCCCUGGGACCCCCGAUCUGUGGCCUGACCAUCCCAGCCCCAUUCAUGUCCUCAGGGCCCUGGCUUGGCUUGCGCCUGGUCACCAGGGGCCGCCAACCCCGGGUGGACUUUUUGGGCGAGGUCACCUCUUUCCGCCUGGGUGGGUUGGGGCUAAUGACUAGGGGGAGGCGAGGAGGGAUAGAGCAGGAGAGGACAGGAAAGGGGAAUAUUGGGAAACAGUGGGUGAU
rnacentral:lncRNA from 1 species